UUAUUUUAUUCUGGCACGGAUGGAAUUCAAGUUCAACUAUUUCACAAUUUUAGGUAAUGGAUCUUGUGGUGAAGGAGCAGUUUAUAUUAGAAGAGCGAAGAAUCAGUCUGUCAGAAGUGCAUACCGCAGAUGAGGCUGCCUUGCAGAUAUGGACAACAGGAACGAUGGGAGAACUAAGCCCAGUAGUGAAGGUCGAUGGACGCACAAUUGGUAAUGGAGAAGUAGGGCCGGUAACUAGAAAGUUGCAAGCUGCUUAUAAAAAGUUGACAGAACAAUCGGGUAUACCUAUACCUAACUACCUCGAGACUUGAAAGUCUUCAGUUGGAACUUGGAAGUGAGUGAAAAUUGUUGGUGUGCCACUCCUGACAGCACCUAAUCCUAGCUUUUUUCUCUCAUCCAGAAUAAAAUUGUGUUAUUUUAAGAGUCGUGGAAUCAAGUGUUUUAAAGACAAUGAUUAAGAAAUUACUUAUAAAUAAGCUUUUUAUUAAAAAUGACAGUGAAGGUACAUUGGUAA